AACAAAGAUGGCCGAAAUAAAUAAGCAGAAGACUGUAAAUCUUACUAUGGGGCCACCCCUCUUGUUA
rnacentral:tRNA from 1 species